CUGCUAUCACUCUUGGAUGGACCUGCGGUGCAUUAGCUAGUUGGUAAGGUAACGGCUUACCAAGGCAAUGAUGCAUAGCCGAGUUGAGAGACUGAUCGGCCACAUUGGGACUGAGACACGGCCCAAACUCCUACGGGAGGCAGCAGUAGGGAAUCUUCCACAAUGGACGAAAGUCUGAUGGAGCAACGCCGCGUGAGUGAAGAAGGGUUUCGGCUCGUAAAGCUCUGUUGGUAGUGAAGAAAGAUAGAGGUAGUAACUGGCCUUUAUUUGACGGUAAUUACUUAGAAAGUCACGGCUAACUACGUGCCAGCAGCCGCGGUAAUACGUAGGUGGCAAGCGUUGUCCGGAUUUAUUGGGCGUAAAGCGAGUGCAGGCGGUUCAAUAAGUCUGAUGUGAAAGCCUUCGGCUCAACCGGAGAAUUGCAUCAGAAACUGUUGAACUUGAGUGCAGAAGAGGAGAGUGGAACUCCAUGUGUAGCGGUGGAAUGCGUAGAUAUAUGGAAGAACACCAGUGGCGAAGGCGGCUCUCUGGUCUGCAACUGACGCUGAGGCUCGAAAGCAUGGGUAGCGAACAGGAUUAGAUACCCUGGUAGUCCAUGCCGUAAACGAUGAGUGCUAAGUGUUGGGAGGUUUCCGCCUCUCAGUGCU
rnacentral:rRNA from 1 species